GACGAACGCUGGCGGCAUGCUUAACACAUGCAAGUCGAACGGGAAGUGCUGGUUUCAGUGGCGGACGGGUGUGGAACGCGUGAGAACCUGCCCUGGGGAGGGGAACAAUAGCUGGAAACUGCCGUUAAUACCCCGUAGCCAGUGGAGCAAAAGAAAGGAGGCGCCAGAGGGGGGGCUGGCGUGUGAGUGGCUAGGUGGGGGGGCAAGAGCUUACCAAGGUGAUGAGCAGGAGAGCGUCCGAGAGGGUAAUCCGCCACACUGGGGCGGAGAGACGCCACAGACUCCGGCGGGGGGCAGUGGUGGGGAGUGUACAGCGAUGGGAGACAGGCUGCAGCAGCGACGCGUCGGGGAUGUAGGAGGCCUAGGGGUAGUGAACUUCUUUUCGCGACGAAGAGGGAAUGACGGUAUCUGGGGAAUAAGCACCGGCUAACUCCGUG
rnacentral:rRNA from 1 species